CCUAAAGGCGCAAUGAAAGUAAAGGUUGGCCUUGUGUCAAUUGAGGGAGGAUGGGCUAUGUUAAGAUAUAGCUCCGCACUCCCGGGGCGUCUCAUUCUCAUUACGAGAAGAGGCGCACCUAGAGCGUACACGUUGGGACCCGAAAGAUGGUGAACUAUGCCUGGUCAGGACGAAGUCAGGGGAAACCCUGAUGGAGGUCCGUAGCGAUUCUGACGUGCAAAUCGAUCGUCGGAACUGGGUAUAGGGGCGAAAGACUAAUCGAACCAUCUAGUAGCUGGUUCCCUCCGAAGUUUCCCUCAGGAUAGCUGGCACUCGCGUUAUACGAGUCUCAUCUGGUAAAGCGAAUGAUUAGAGGCCUUGGGGCCGAAACGACCUCAACCUAUUCUCAAACUUUAAAUGGGUGAGAUCUCUGGCUUGCUUGAAUAUAUGAAGCCAUGAGAUUUACACGGAUCAGAGUGCCAAGUGG
rnacentral:rRNA from 1 species